AACGCGAAGAACCUUACCUGGGCUCGAAGCGCAGUGGACCGGGAUGGAAACAUCCCUUCCCCUUAAAAGGCUGCUGCGGAGGUGCUGCAUGGCUGUCGUCAGCUCGUGUCGUGAGAUGUUGGGUUAAGUCCCGCAACGAGCGCAACCCUUAUCCCUAGUUGCCAUCGGGUCAAGCCGGGCACUCUAGUGAAACUGCCUCGGAUAACGAGGAGGAAGGUGGGGAUGACGUCAAGUCCUCAUGGCCUUUAUGUCCAGGGCUACACACGUGCUACAAUGGUCGGUACAAACCGUCGCAAACCCGCGAGGGGGAGCUAAUCGGAAAAAGCCGACCUCAGUUCGGAUUGGAGUCUGCAACCCGACUCCAUGAAGCUGGAAUCGCUAGUAAUCGCGGAUCAGAACGCCGCGGUGAAUACGUUCCCGGGCCUUGUA
rnacentral:rRNA from 1 species